GGAUUUAAUACUCAAUAUCCACAAUCCGAAACCCCUCUUAUUUCUGGCCCAUAUUAAAACUGAGGGCGAAUCUUACCUUAAAAGACCGACUUUCACCCUUGGUCGUAUAACUAGACUGAACUUCAACUGCAGGACAAAUGGCUAACUAGUACUUACUUUCGCUUCAUCUUUGUUUGUCGAACGAUUUCGAAUCCUUUCCUUCUCAGUUACCCUUUGUACCAACCUUACCUAACUAUUUUUGGAGUUUUAAAAAUCUGAAGACAGCAGAAAAAAAAAUGUUCUAUCUAAGCCUAAUCGAGCACACUUUGAGAUUACCACCCCAUCUUCUUAACCUUCCUCUUGAUGAGGCUAUUAAGAUAGAGUUGGAAGCCCUUUUCUUGGAUAAGGUUAUUGCAAACUUGGGACUUUGCAUUUCAGUAUAUGACAUCAGGUCAAUUAAAGGCGGCUUUAUCUAUCCCGGGGAUGGUGCUUCUACCUAUACGGUGGAGUUCAGACUGAUUGUGUUUCGUCCAUUUGUUGGUGAGAUUAUUGUUGCAAAACUUAAAGAAUCUGACGCUAAUGGCUUGCGCUUGUCACUUGGAUUUUUUGAUGACAUUUACAUACCUGUCCAUCUUUUGCCAAUUCCAUCUCGCUUUGAAUCUGACCCUAAUAAUAGAAAUCAAGGAAGAUGGAUAUGGGACUUUGGAGAAGCAGAAGAAGCACAGUCUGAAGAACCACGAUUUGUUAUUGAUGGGAUGGAUCAGAUUAAAUUUCGAGUUCAUAGUGUUAUAUAUCCUUCAAUUCCUCUCGAACAGCCAGAAAAUUCAAAGCCAUUUGCCCCAAUGGUGAUUACUGGAUCAAUAGACUAUGAUGGUUUGGGCCCCGUUUCAUGGUGGGAGGAAGCAGAAAUGGUUCAGGAAGAAUCUUAAGUUUACAAAUCAGUAAGUGGAAGCAAGUGAGGCUUUGUUGAUUGGAUUUGUUUGUAGCUGCUUCACAAAUCACAAGGCAGCAGGAAUGAUCUUUUCAAAGCUUGCAAUAGCUGCAGCAGAGGGUGUUAAUGUUAAAUCUUACCUGGCUGACGUGCUUCUUCCCACACAGCACCUACGAGAAUAACAACUCAACCAUCAACUUAUCGAGGAAAUGCCAAAAGCUUGAAAUUGUUGCUUAGACAAUUUUGGCCACAAAUGCGACAGCUGCCUCCACCGCAAAUCAAUUCGACCAAUACAUGUUUAAUGGGCGGACCCCACCCACCAGCCCAAGGAUCUCAAACAAGCAUAAGCUAUAUUUACACCAAAGCCAGAGACGGUGAUAGGAAAAGAACAAACAUGGCCACCACUUCUUUUACAGCUCCCAAACUCUCUUCCCCAACUCUCCAAACCCUUUACCGAAACCUUCCCGUCUCUGUUCCUUUACCCAAGACCCGUUCUUCCUUUUCCCGCCACCUUUCUCCCUCUAUCUCUCGCUUCCACCAUCACCACUUGCACCGCCACCGCCUCUUCUCCGUUCGUGCCGAGUCCGAGAAUGGUGCUGAGCCGCCGCGGCACUAUGACUUCGACCUCUUUACAAUCGGCGCCGGCAGUGGUGGCGUUCGUGCUUCCCGUUUCGCAGCCAAGUUUGGUGCUUCUGUUGCUGUUUGUGAGCUUCCGUUUUCGACCAUUUCUUCUGAGACCACUGGCGGCGUUGGCGGGACAUGCGUACUUAGAGGAUGUGUACCA